rnacentral:rRNA from 2 species
UCGAGCGACUGAUUAGAAGCUUGCUUCUAUGACGUUAGCGGCGGACGGGUGAGUAACACGUGGGCAACCUGCCUGUAAGACUGGGAUAACUUCGGGAAACCGAAGCUAAUACCGGAUAGGAUCUUCUCCUUCAUGGGAGAUGAUUGAAAGAUGGUUUCGGCUAUCACUUACAGAUGGGCCCGCGGUGCAUUAGCUAGUUGGUGAGGUAACGGCUCACCAAGGCAACGAUGCAUAGCCGACCUGAGAGGGUGAUCGGCCACACUGGGACUGAGACACGGCCCAGACUCCUACGGGAGGCAGCAGUAGGGAAUCUUCCGCAAUGGACGAAAGUCUGACGGAGCAACGCCGCGUGAGUGAUGAAGGCUUUCGGGUCGUAAAACUCUGUUGUUAGGGAAGAACAAGUACGAGAGUAACUGCUUGUACCUUGACGGUACCUAACCAGAAAGCCACGGCUAACUACGUGCCAGCAGCCGCGGUAAUACGUAGGUGGCAAGCGUUAUCCGGAAUUAUUGGGCGUAAAGCGCGCGCAGGCGGUUUCUUAAGUCUGAUGUGAAAGCCCACGGCUCAACCGUGGAGGGUCAUUGGAAACUGGGGAACUUGAGUGCAGAAGAGAAAAGCGGAAUUCCACGUGUAGCGGUGAAAUGCGUAGAGAUGUGGAGGAACACCAGUGGCGAAGGCGGCUUUUUGGUCUGUAAACUGACGCUGAGGCGCGAAAAGCGUGGGGAGCAAACAGGAUUAGAUACCUGGUUAGUCCACGCCGUAAACGAUGAGUGCUAAGUGUUAGAGGGUUUCCGCUCUUUAGUGCUGCAGCUAACGCAUUAAGCACUCCGCCUGGGGAG